rnacentral:rRNA from 1 species
UCUGAUGCAGCACGCCGCGUGGAGGAUGACGCAUUUCGGUGUGUAAACUCCUUUUAUAAGGGAAGAUAAUGACGGUACCUUAUGAAUAAGCACCGGCUAACUCCGUGCCAGCAGCCGCGGUAAUACGGAGGGUGCAAGCGUUACUCGGAAUCACUGGGCGUAAAGGAUGCGUAGGCUGGAAAUCAAGUCGAGAGUGAAAUCCAACGGCUCAACCGUUGAACUGCUCUCGAAACUGGUUACCUAGAAUAUGGGAGAGGUAGAUGGAAUUGGUGGUGUAGGGGUAAAAUCCGUAGAUAUCACCAGGAAUACCGAUUGCGAAGGCGAUCUACUGGAACAUUAUUGACGCUGAGGCAUGAAAGCGUGGGGAGCAAACAGGAUUAGAUACCCUGGUAGUCCACGCCCUAAACGAUGCACACUAGUUGUUGCGAUGCUAGUCAUUGCAGUAAUGCACUUAACAGAUUAAGUGUGCCGCCUGGGGAGUACGGUCGCAAGAUUAAAACUCAAAGGAAUAGACGGGGACCCGCACAAGCGGUGGAGCAUGUGGUUUAAUUCGAAGAUACACGAAGAACCUUACCUGGCCUUGAUAUCCUAAGAAUCCUUUAGAGAUAAGGGAGUGCUAGUUUACUAGAACUUAGAGACAGGUGCUGCACGGCUGUCGUCAGCUCGUGUCGUGAGAUGUUGGGUUAAGUCCCGCAACGAGCGCAACCCUCGUGAUUAGUUGCUAACAGUUCGGCUGAGCACUCUAAUCAGACUGCCUUCGCAAGGAGGAGGAAGGUGAGGACGACGUCAAGUCAUCAUGGCCCUUAUGGCCAGGGCUACACACGUGCUACAAUGGCUAGGACAAAGAGACGCGAUACUGCGAAGUGGAGCAAAUCUUAAAACCUAGUCUCAGUUCGGAUUGGAGUCUGCAACUCGACUCCAUGAAGCUGGAAUCGCUAGUAAUCGUAGAUCAGAUAUGCUACGGUGAAUACGUUCCCGGGUCUGUACUCACGCCCGUCACACCAUGGGAGUGAUCACCCGAAGCCGGAUACUAACUAGUACGACACGGUGGUUCAGCGACUGGGG